AGAGUUUGAUCAUGGCUCAGAACGUACGCUGGCGGCACGCCUAACACAUGCAAGUCGAACGAAGUAGCAAUACUUAGUGGCAGACGGGUGAGUAACAUGUGGGUAUCUACCCUUUGGCCUGGAAUAACACGAGGAAACUUGUGCUAAUACCGGAUAAGUCUUUACGGAGAAAGCUUUAUGCACCAUUGGAUGAGCCUGCACUUGAUUAGUUUGUUGGUAGGGUAAUGGCCUACCAAGACUAUGAUCAAUAGCUGAUUUGAGAGGAUGAUCAGCCACAUUGGGACUGAGACACGGCCCAAACUCCUACGGGAGGCANCAGUGGGGAAUCUUGCACAA
rnacentral:rRNA from 1 species